UACGUAGGGUGCGAGCGUUGUCCGAAUUAUUGGGGCGUAAAGGGCUCGUAGGCGGUUUGUCACGUCGGGAGUGAAAACUCGGGGCUUAAACCCCGGAGCCCUGGCUUCCGAUUACGGGCAGACUAGAGGUAUGCAGGGGAGAACGGAAUUCCGUGGUGUAGCGGUGAAAUGCGCAGAUAUCAGGAGGAACACCGGUGGCGAAGGCGGUUCUCUGGGCAUUACCUGACGCUGAGGAGCGAAAGUGUGGGGAGCGAACAGG
rnacentral:rRNA from 1 species